rnacentral:tRNA from 2 species
GGCCCCAUCGUCUAACGGUUAGGACGGCAGGUUUUCAACCUGCAAAUCGGAGUUCGAUUCUCCGUGGGGUCACCA